UAAUACAUGCAAGUUGAACGCUUGAUUUUCACCGAAGCUUGCUUCACCGAAAAUCAAGAGUAGCGAACGGGUGAGUAACGCGUGGGUAACCUACCUUUCAGCGGGGGAUAACUAUUGGAAACGAUAGCUAAUACCGCAUAACAAUGUUGGAUGCAUAUUCGACAUUUGAAAGUACCAACUGGUACACUGAGAGAUGGACCCGCGUUGUAUUAGCUAGUUGGUAGUGUAAUGGACUACCAAGGCGAUGAUACAUAGCCGACCUGAGAGGGUGAUCGGCCACAUUGGGACUGAGACACGGCCCAAACUCCUACGGGAGGCAGCAGUAGGGAAUCUUCGGCAAUGGACGAAAGUCUGACCGAGCAACGCCGCGUGAGUGAAGAAGGUUUUCGGAUCGUAAAACUCUGUUGUUAGAGAAGAACGUUGCAUAGAGUGGAAAAUUAUGCAAGUGACGGUAUCUAACCAGAAAGGGACGGCUAACUACGUGCCAGCAGCCGCGGUAAUACGUAGGUCCCGAGCGUUGUCCGGAUUUAUUGGGCGUAAAGCGAGCGCAGGUGGUUUAAUAAGUCUGAUGUAAAAGGCAGUGGCUCAACCAUUGUGUGCAUUGGAAACUGUUAGACUUGAGUGCAGUAGAGGAGAGUGGAAUUCCAUGUGUAGCGGUGAAAUGCGUAGAUAUAUGGAGGAACACCGGUGGCGAAAGCGGCUCUCUGGACUGUCACUGACACUGAGGC
rnacentral:rRNA from 1 species